rnacentral:lncRNA from 1 species
GAAUGUUUUAGCCCCGUUAAAUAAUUAAGAAACCUGUAAAAAAUCCUCCUACAUCUCUUUAACAAAUUGAUUUGCUUCUUUGUUUCAGGUAAGAAUCUCAACCAGAAUUACAUCCAAUAAUUUGGGCGUGAGUUUUAAUUUGUUUCUUAUUCAUUGACUUAAAGAAAUGAAUCUACUACAUUCGCCGAAUUAAUGAGGGUUUGGAUAAUGUUGGCUCAAAUUCGUGCACCCCUCGGCCAGCGUCAGAUCUGAAUCCUCCUAGGACUGACACAUACCGCCUUUCGAUGGCCAAUCUUGAAGAUACUCAAGAUGUGGACUUAGAUGCUAUUCUUGGUGAGCUUUGUGCCCUAGAGUCUCAGUAUGACAAGAGUUGUCUCAAACUUCUCUCAACAAAUCAGGUGCAACAGAUAUUUCUCAACACAGAAGAAGUCCAUCUGAGGCGCAUGGCGUUGCCCGCACUGAUAGCCCAGACAAUGAUUCAGCAUUCUCUGACAGUGUAUCCUUGUUGUCGAGUGAAAGUUCUGCCUCAAGUGGUCGAACUGAUGCCACAGCAUCCUCAUCAGUUAGUGCAAAUCAGGCUGGCCAAAAUGGGAAAACAGAGAAAAUCCGAUUGGCGCUUCAGAAAAUGCGAGAAGCAAAUAUCAAGAAAAUAUUCAUUAAAGUAUUCAGUCUAGAUGGAUCCGCAAAU